GACGAACGCUGGCGGCGUGCUUAACACAUGCAAGUCGAACGGAAAGGCCCUGCUUUUGUGGGGUGCUCGAGUGGCGAACGGGUGAGUAACACGUGAGUAACCUGCCCUUGACUUUGGGAUAACUUCAGGAAACUGGGGCUAUACCGGAUAGGAGCCUCUGCCGCCUGGUGGGGGUUGGAAAGUUUCGGCGGUUGGGGAUGGACUCGCGGCUUAUCAGCUUGUUGGUGGGGUAGUGGCUUACCAAGGCUUUGACGGGUAGCCGGCCUGAGAGGGUGACCGGCCACAUUGGGACUGAGAUACGGCCCAGACUCCUACGGGAGGCAGCAGUGGGGAAUAUUGCACAAUGGGCGGAAGCCUGAUGCAGCAACGCCGCGUGCGGGAUGACGGCCUUCGGGUUGUAAACCGCUUUCGCCUGUGACGAAGCGUGAGUGACGGUAAUGGGUAAAGAAGCACCGGCUAACUACGUG
rnacentral:rRNA from 1 species